rnacentral:lncRNA from 1 species
GGCAGCUGGGUUCCUGGGUCACCGGUCAGCUACAGUGGCAGUGCCAACGCCAGCGGCAGAGGUGGUGGCAUGAGCCUGGUCAGCCAGGUAAUUUGCUACCCAAGCUGAAAAAUAUUUACCUCCUCUGAGGCAGAAGGCAAGAGAGAGACAGGAAUGGAGAACAAGGACUCUGUGAUGGACUGGGACAUAGUGGUGUAAGCCAAAGAAACCAUUCCCUCCCCAUGCUGCUUUUGGCUGGCAUUUCUCACAGCAACAAACCCCAAAAUUGAACGGCAAUUUAAGGAAGGAAGGAUUUGCUUGAUCUAAAAACUCUGAAGGGCGUCCCUGCUUUUCUACUGAUUGGCUGACACAGCCUACAAGAUGAUGUGCUGUCAGAGGAGCAAUAGAGAACUCCCUGAGGCCCUUGUGGUCAUCAGAUUCCCUGAGCUGGAAGCACAGGUGUUGGCUCAUCACCUGAUAUGUGUGCUGGGAUUCAAACCCAGG